AACGAACGCUGGCGGCAGGCUUAACACAUGCAAGUCGAACGGGUGCAGCAAAUGCAUCAGUGGCAGACGGGUGAGUAACACGUGGGAACCUUCCUAGGGGUACGGAACAACUCAGGGAAACUUGAGCUAAUACCGUAUACGUCCGUAAGGAGAAAGAUUCAUCGCCCCUAGACGGGCCCGCGUCGGAUUAGGUAGUUGGUGGGGUAACGGCCUACCAAGCCUGCGAUCCGUAGCUGAUCUGAGAGGAUGAUCAGCCACACUGGGACUGAGACACGGCCCAGACUCCUACGGGAGGCAGCAGUGGGGAAUCUGGACAAUGGGCGCAAGCCUGAUCCAGCCAUGCCGCGUGAGUGAAGAAGGCCUU
rnacentral:rRNA from 1 species